rnacentral:rRNA from 1 species
AACUAACGCUGGCGGCGUGCCUAACACAUGCAAGUCGUACGAGAAAGUUGGCUUCGGCCGAUGAGUAAAGUGGCGCACGGGUGAGUAACGCGUGGAUAAUCUACCUUUUAGUUUGGAAUAACGUACCGAAAGGUGCGCUAAUACCGGAUAAUACUGAGUGACUACUGUUGCUUAGUCAAAGAAGGCUUCUGUUUACAUGCUUUUGCUGAAAGAUGAGUCCGCGUACCAUUAGCUAGUUGGUAGGGUAAUGGCCUACCAAGGCUACGAUGGUUAGCUGGUCUGAGAGGAUGAUCAGCCACACUGGAACUGAGACACGGUCCAGACUCCUACGGGAGGCAGCAGUGAGGAAUAUUGCGCAAUGGGGGAAACCCUGACGCAGCAACGCCGCGUGAGUGAUGAAGGCUUUCGGGUCGUAAAGCUCUGUCAAGUGGGAAGAAGUUGUGUAUGGCUAAUACCUGUGCACAUUGACGGUACCACUGAAGGAAGCACCGGCUAACUCCGUG